rnacentral:lncRNA from 1 species
CGGGCUGGCAGCACCAGCCGAGGCGGUGAGCAGGGCUCCCGUGCCUCCCGGAGCCCCCAUCCAUCCCACCCACCCCAUCCAGGGCCGGCGGUGCUUCGGAGCCUUCCUGGAAGAAGUCGAUUUGUUCCCGUACCUGAAGCAGGUGAUGUUUAUGCAGAGACAUCUGAAUGACAGCAGGAGUGAAGGACAAAUCUAAUAAAGCCUAAUAAACCGUGAGAGUCUAAAUGUCAUUAAACUUACAAAGAUGAGACUCCAAAUCACCAAAAAGAGAGAUGACUUCUGAGGAAAAGAGGAGAGCAGUAUGGAUGAGAGGACGAGUGGAUUUCUGAGGGAAACAUCUCACAGUGCUCUUUGGUGGACCAAGAAGUGGACCUUCCAGUGGGUGUCCUGGGGAGCUGAGGAGCAGUGUCUCCUGUUACGAAGGGAAACUGCUCGUUUAGAAGCCCUCUAUGGAGUGGGAAUCGAACCGAGGAUGCGACACUUUGUGUUGAUCCAGAGGGAAUUCCACGCAACGUUGCUACUCUUUCUCUUGGUGAACGUCCCUAGGUGCCUCGAGCAAAACAGCACCCCUAGGAGAAGGGCACGAAGCUCAUCGUGUGCAAAUGCCUGGCUUUUUUUCCAAGCCACCCAGUAGACAAUGAACGAUGGGGCAGAGUUGUAAAAGCCCCUCAUUCCCCAGAACGGCUCUGUUGUCUUUGUCUUUACAUAAAACUGUGCCCUUUGGCCAAAUGCGCCUGUAACGAGCUUGUAAAACAAACCAGAAAUCUCAGCUCUUCCUCAAGUUCACAAGCAAGCCACUUCAUUCCCAAAUCUUGCAAAUAUGUUGGGAGUGUUAGAAGUGGGACUAAAAAGCCCCCUAGCAGAGAUGGUUACCUGCUGUGACCCUCGCUGCCACAGUCCCCUUCACCAGACAUUAAAUCCCUUACCCGAAGAAAACAGGCACUUGUCACAGUUGAAGCCUGACGUACGGGGACGGCGGGAUGUAACUAUUUAGGGGACUUCACGUUUUCCCCGGAGGCCCUUCUGAGCCGAGGUCCCUCGCACGCCUCCACUAGAGGCCUGCAGGGUCCGAGCUGCCCCGAUCUGACCUGUUCCUGAGAUCCUCCUCCAGAGGAUGUCCACCUCGCUGUCCUCCCUGCCCAGCCCCAUCACCUCGCCCCUUGCCUUGCAGCCGGUUAUUUGCGGAGGAUCCGACGAAGGGGCAGGUGAAUCCCCCCAAAAGCCCUUUGUGACGGCACCCCCCA